rnacentral:lncRNA from 1 species
GCGUUUAAAACUAAGGUCAAGGGGGUGAUGGCCUCUGCUUUUUCCUUUUCCUUUCCCCUUCUCUCUAUUACUUUCACCAACUAACCCUCCAACUCCCCCUUUCUUGCCUUUUACUUUUGAUUCAUGUCAUUUUCUCUGUUUUCAAACAUGCCACAUGCCCUCCUUCAACCAUACUUGUCAUUUGCUUCAAUCCAUUAAAUCAAGAAUAAUAAUUUAAAUUGCAUUAAUUGGAUUAAAAAAUUAGAAAAAAAUAGAUUGAAAAAAUGCGAUAAACUAAUUAAAAUAUUAUUUGAAUAAAAUUUAAAUUAGUUUAAAUAUUUAAUUUUGUUAUUGUAAUUUAGGUCAACAACAGGCCUAGUGUGUCGGGAUCUGAGGGGGGAACUACUGGUCUUAAAGACAAUCAUUCACAACAAUGUUUCCUCCCCAUUUGCAACAGAAGCAUAUGCAUGUUUGGAAGGCACAAAAUUAAGGAUUUCACUGGGAGUUCAAUCGAUUAAACUUAUGGGAGACUCCAAAACAAUAAUAAAAAAAUGUCAAACGAUUUUAACAGAUAAAUCAGUGAUUGGAGCCAUUAUCAGAGACAUUCAGAAUAAGAAAUCUUGUUUUCAAGAGAUCAUCUUUCAACAUAUACACAGAGCAGUGAACUCGCAAGCACAUAGACUAGCAAAAGACGCUCUUGAUAGCGGAGAAACCUCUUACCUGAUGGGAGAAGAGCUGAAUCGACAUAGCUUCGCUUUGGAGAGAAGAUGGCCAAGAAAUCCAGACUGAAGGAGAGUUUGAGGGAAAUGAUUUCAAAAGAAGAUGGCAAGUAAAGUUUUAUCCUUUGGAAAUUGUUAUCGUCAGAACGGAUUGGAUUUUGAAAAGACAAAUCAAGAGAAUUAACGGUAUCCAGCUGUAAGGACUGACUGGGGUAAUUAUUUAGGUUCCUUUUUCUUCCUUUUCAUUUAUUGCUUUCCUUUUCC